rnacentral:rRNA from 1 species
CCUACGGCUGGCAGCAGUGAGGAAUAUUGGUCAAUGGACGAGAGUCUGAACCAGCCAAGUAGCGUGAAGGAUGACUGCCCUAUGGGUUGUAAACUUCUUUUAUAAAGGAAUAAAACGAGGCACGUGUGCCUUUUCGCAUGUACUUUAUGAAUAAGGAUCGGCUAACUCCGUGCCAGCAGCCGCGGUAAUACGGAGGAUCCGAGCGUUAUCCGGAUUUAUUGGGUGUAAAGGGAGCGUAGAUGGGUUGUUAAGUCAGUUGUGAAAGUUUGCGGCUCAACCGUAAAAUUGCAAUUGAUACUGGCAGUCUUGAGUACAGUUGAGGUAGGCGGAAUUCGUGGUGUAGCGGUGAAAUGCUUAGAUAUCACGAAGAACCCCGAUUGCGAAGGCAGCUUACUAAACUGUGACUGACAUUGAUGCUCGAAAGUGUGGGUAUCAAACAGGAUUAGAUACCCCAGUAGUC